UNUAAAGUUUAAUNUCCUCUAUGAGGAUUUAAAUGGCCGCGGUAUUUUGACCGNGCAAAGGUAGCAUAAUAAUUAGUUUUUUAAUUGGAAGNUGGAAUGAACGAUUGGACGAGAAAAUAACUGUCUCAAUUUAAUUUUAUUAGAAUUUUAUUUUUAAGUAANAAAGCUUAAAUAUUAUUAAAAGACGAGAAGACCCUAUAGAGUUUUAUAAUUGAUAAAUUAUUAGUUUUUAAGUAUAUUUUUAUUAAUAAUUUAUUAAUUAUUUUGUUGGGGCGAUAGAAAAAUAUAAAUAACUUUUUUUUUAUUUAAACAUUGAUUUAUGUAUUUUUGAUCCAUUUUUUAUGAUUAUAAG
rnacentral:rRNA from 1 species